rnacentral:misc_RNA from 1 species
GCAAACUUGGUCAUUUAGAGGAAGUAAAAGUCGUAACAAGGUCUCCGUUGGUGAACCAGCGGAGGGAUCAUUAACGAGUUUAUUAUAACUCCCAAACCCAUGUGAACUUACCUUCUGUUGCCUCGGCAGGCAGGUCCGCACAUCCUACCCUGUAGGACUCUACCCGGGACGAACCUGCCUUACAUUGUAAUGGACUCCAACCGGGAUUAGACCUACGCGGUAUAACGUGCGCUCCCCGCCUGCCGGUGGACCAUGAAACAAACUCUGUUUAAUAAGCUGGUAUUCUGAUCAUUAUAUGGAAAAUAAGUUAAAACUUUCAACAACGGAUCUCUUGGUUCUGGCAUCGAUGAAGAACGCAGC